rnacentral:rRNA from 1 species
AUACGGAGGGGGUUAGCGUUGUUCGGAAUUACUGGGCGUAAAGCGCGCGUAGGCGGAUUGGUAAGUUAGAGGUGAAAUCCCGGGGCUCAACCCCGGAACUGCCUUUGAUACUGCCAGUCUUGAGUUCGAGAGAGGUGAGUGGAAUUCCGAGUGUAGAGGUGAAAUUCGUAGAUAUUCGGAGGAACACCAGUGGCGAAGGCGGCUCACUGGCUCGAUACUGACGCUGAGGUGCGAAAGCGUGGGGAGCAAACAGGAUUAGAAACCCCAGUAGUCC